rnacentral:rRNA from 1 species
AUUGAACGCUGGCGGCAGGCCUAACACAUGCAAGUCGAGCGGCAGCGGGAAAGUAGCUUGCUACUUUUGCCGGCGAGCGGCGGACGGGUGAGUAAUGCCUGGGAAAUUGCCCAGUCGAGGGGGAUAACAGUUGGAAACGACUGCUAAUACCGCAUACGCCCUACGGGGGAAAGCAGGGGACCUUCGGGCCUUGCGCGAUUGGAUAUGCCCAGGUGGGAUUAGCUAGUUGGUGAGGUAAUGGCUCACCAAGGCGACGAUCCCUAGCUGGUCUGGGAGGAUGAUCAGCCACACUGGAACUGAGACACGGUCCAGACUCCUACGGGGGGCAGCAGUGGGGAAUAUUGCACAAUGGGGGAAACCCUGAUGCAGCCAUGCCGCGUGUGUGAAGAAGGCCUUCGGGUUGUAAAGCACUUUCAGCGAGGAGGAAAGGUUGAUGCCUAAUACGUAUCAAUUGUGACGUUACUCGCAGAAGAAGCACCGGCUAACUCCGUGCCAGCCGCCGCCGUAA